UAAAGGACUUAGCUGGCAGCAUCUUUGAAUGAACUUUACACGGCUGGCACCGAAAAGCUUUCUCUGUCACUGAAACACGUUGUACAAUUACAAGAUGGAUGCUCCACUGAAUGAGAGGGAUGGAAGACUUUUAAUGAUGGUUCUACUUUGCUGAAAUAGGAAUGAGCUUCCAAUGAAUAAAGCGAUCUAUAACUCUUUGGAUGAAGAUGAGACACUAAGAGAGCUGAUAUAGUAGGU